ensembl:lncRNA
GCAGAUCACCUGAGCCACCUCACUGCUCCCGGGACGGAGAACGUGGGAGAACCGGUUCCACGUGAUCAACCGGACUCAGUGAUCCACCGUAAACAGCUGAUUCAGGAUCAGACAGCAGAUCUCAGACCUCGGUCUCUUCACAUCCGAUCAAUCAAUAAUCAAUAAUCAAUAAUCCAUCACCAGAUCUCUCUCCCUCAUAGAAUCCAACUUGUCCUCGAUUACAUUCACGUGACAGCUUCAGUCACUUCUCUGAUUGAGACGAUCCAACAGGUAGAAACAGAUCAGAUCGGUGACACGUGACGUCACAGCGCCACCUGCCGGCCACAGACACACGGUGCAGCAGCUGACUGGGGAUCGAUCAGUUCUCAGGUUGAUUCUUUACAGUCAAACUAUUUCACUCAUAUUUAAAAAAAAACAACAAUGUUUUGUCUUUACAAUUUCUGCUUUGAAAUUGUAUAAAUAGCUCAUCCGGCCGAGCACUCACCUGCUCAGGUAGGACAUGACCCACCGUACCUUUGACUUGCGCCACUUGAGAACUUACGCCCAAAUUAUUUUCUGUCUUGGAACAGGUCCACGCAGAGUCAGGUUGGUGGGAGGAGCCAGUCGCUGCGCUGGUGAACUGGAGAUGAACCACCAGAGAGAGUGGAGACCAGUGACUGUCGGGGUUGGAUGGAACCAGAUAUCAGUGGAUAAAGUUUGCACACAUCUGGAUUGUGGAUCUGCUGUUUCAACAAAAGUUACAGAUAAUUCUCCAUACAGACGUGUGUGGUGGAUCGAUAACGACUGUGUCCAGUCCAAAUCUGCACUCAGGGAAUGUGUGAAGCUGACUGAUCUUUAUAAAACCAAGAAAGGCCAUGAAGUGAUCUGCUCAGGUUUGCUGGUUCAGCCAAACGUCUCCGUCUCGCCAAUUGUUGGGGUCUCCGGGGCCGAGCAGCAGGGGUAUCAUGUGCUCCUGGGCUCCAGCUUCACCGUCACGUGUUCUACUGAACCACAGUACCAAGGAGGCUGCUUCCACCUUCUCUUCACCACCUCCGACACGGCACACAUCUACACCCUGCCGGCUGUCAAUCACUCCGCCCACUUCCUGUUCCCUGCUGCGCGCAGCGCCCACCGAGGGGACUACACAUGUGUUUACCACGCCUACGUUUUCUCCUAUAACUUCUCUUCCGAGAGCCGGCCUCUCCAUGUCAUUGUCUCAGGUAUCUUCCUGGAGAAUCUGUGUCAAACAUGAUCAAGAGAUUUCAAAACGAAAGGACACUUACGAGUCUUUCCUGAGCUUUCAACCACGUGUCACAGUCGACAUGAGCAGGCUCAUGGUUUCUGAAACGACACCACAUAACAUUAAUAUAACAUUAAAAUACUUCAGUUAUUCUUCUUCGUCCAUCAGAACAGAGUUUCCAGUUCCACCACACUACUUUGUGUAGUAUUCAGCACAAAAGUACAUAUAAUGAAUCUCUAGAUUAAAAUAAAUAAGCCUGCAAACUACUUUUAUACUUUCAUUGAACUAAAGUAAAGAAAAGGAAAAAGAAUCCUGAAGUAGAAUGUCACUCAGAAGAGCUCAUCGCUCCGCCAAGGCCCAACAGUUCCCUCAUGAAACACAUUUAAAUCAACAGGAUCUGGAUUUUAAUGUGGAUCUGAACCAAAUCUCACACACUUAUAGAAUCAGUCUCUGAAUAUUCCUGAUUUUGGGGGGCAAUCUGUGAAAAUGUAAAAAAACAAACAAAACAUUUCUAUCUUGCAAUGUUUGAGAAAGAAAUUUGAAAAAUCCUGGCUCCGCCCCUUUGUCCAGAUCCCCUGUAAAGUUUUAUGGAUUCUUUCUUGGUCCAUGUUCCAUCCUUCCAAAUUCACUGGGGGUGAAAACAUAACCUCCUUGGCCGAGGUUAAAAAGAAAAUGUCCUCAGAUAAUCUACCAACCUGCUCGUCCACAAAGUCAGUUUCCGUGUUUAUUCGUGUCAUACGCACGGAAUAGUUCACGUUGCGUUUGGUGUGAACGCAGCGCGACUCUCUUCAAACACUUCUCUCCAUUAACCAGGUAACAGUGUUGAUAAUCUGGUCUGUUUUUAUGUCCAAUGAAACACAUUAUAACUGUUGAGGCAGUUAAUACUAAUAAUAAAUAAGAUGAUGUCAUAGGAACAGAUGUGAUGAUUUCAAAUCUCUUCCAGCUUCUGUGACUGAUCUGAUCAUCAGAUGUGUCGUGGUGCUGCUGCUUCUGACGGUGUCGACCCUCAUCCUCUACUUCCACUUCAAGGUGACGGACACACACCCAGCGUCCAUCCUUCAUCAGAGGAGAGAUGUUGAAUUAGCGCUAACAGGAAGUGUCUGCUGUCGUGUGUUUCCAGGCCGAAGGACGCCGGAGGAGACAGAGGCCUGAGACUCGUCAGCGCCCCCGCAGGUCAACAGCUGCAUCACGCGUCAACGUAGAGUAAAAGGAUCACAGCCGCAAUGGAAGAAGCUUCAGAUGGAUUUCAUCCAGAUAUUGAAUAUGUGUCAAUGUACAGUAUCUGAGAUCUAAGACAAAGUGAUAUGUUGACUUUGAAAGGCGACACAGGAUACAAACACAACAACUGUUAUUAGGACACAUUCAUCAUUCAUUGUUGCUGUUGGUCUUUUAUGGGAUUUGUUCAAUGAUAUAAAUAGAGAAAAUCAGCAGACUGAUCCUUUAAUAUUCAUAUCAGUGGUUAUGGAAGUGGAGUAUGAGGCAAAGUUGAAACAUUUAUUGAAUAUUUAAAUUCUUAAAUGUCAACUGUAAAAAAACCCAGCUUAUUUACGUUUGAUAUUCAUCUUUACUUUUCAUAUUUACUUUUUAUUCUUUUUAUACUAUUUUAUUUUAUAAACUCGCUUAGUUUUUCAAAAACGCUGUUGAAUGAAGUUUUAUUGUUGUUUGUCCCCAUAAGGAAGACAAGUCCUGUGAGUGUGUAAACACAUGUUGGUCCCCACAACAUGAGUAAUACCAACACACACACACACACACAUGAUACAAACAAUAACUUUUAUUAAGACACAUUCAUUGUUGGGAGCAAAAGACAAAACAGUUUAUUGUCAGUUGUUGUUAAAAUACAAAAGUAACUUUUAUUUACUAAUUUAUUGAAACAUUUUUGUUUGAUAUUCAUCUUUACUUUUUAUACUCACUUCUACUUACAUGUACAAUAAAACUUGACUUAGUCGA